UACGUAGGGGGCAAGCGUUGUCCGGAAUCAUUGGGCGUAAAGAGCGUGUAGGCGGCUUGUUAAGUCUUGCGUGAAAUCUCGGGGCUCAACCCCGAGCGGUCGUGAGAAACUGGCAGGCUAGAGUGCGGGAGAGGAGAGUGGAAUUCCUGGUGUAGCGGUGAAAUGCGCAGAUAUCGGGAAGAACACCCGUGGCGAAGGCGGUUCUCUGGGACGGUACUGACGCUGAGACGCGAAAGCGUGGGGAGCGAACAGG
rnacentral:rRNA from 1 species